UACGGGGGGUGCGAGCGUUGUCCGGAAUCACUGGGCGUAAAGGGCGCGUAGGCGGCUCGGUCAGCGUGCGGUGAAAGCCCGGGGCUCAACCCCGGGUCGGCCGUGCGAACUGCUGGGCUGGAGCACUGUAGAGGCAGGUGGAAUUCCGGGUGUAGCGGUGGAAUGCGUAGAGAUCCGGAAGAACACCGGUGGCGAAGGCGGCCUGCUGGGCAGUAGCUGACGCUGAUGCGCGACAGCGUGGGGAGCAAACAGG
rnacentral:rRNA from 1 species